rnacentral:rRNA from 1 species
UACGUAGGGUGCGAGCGUUGUCCGGAAUUACUGGGCGUAAAGAGCUCAUAGGUGGUUUGUCGCGUCGUCUGUGAAAUUCCGGGGCUUAACCUCGGGCGUGCAGGCGAUACGGGCAAUACUUGAGUGCUGUAGGGGAGACUGGAAUUCCUGGUGUAGCGGUGAAAUGCGCAGAUAUCAGGAGGAACACCGAUGGCGAAGGCAGGUCUCUGGGCAGUAACUGACGCUGAGGAGCGAAAGCAUGGGUAGCGAACAGGAUUA